CUGGCAAGGGGCUGGCUGCAGUUCCGACAGCGGCGGUGCCGGGAGGGGUAGGUGAGGGUCGCGAGGCGGCCCUGAGCUUCUGAGUGAGCGUGGUGCUUUUGGGAACUCGGGACGGGCGACCCGUGGAGCCAGGAGCGGGGCCGAGGCGCUGAGACGCGGCGGCGCGGCUGCCGGCUGGAUGGGAAGUUAAUGUUUACGGCGAAGUCUACUCAACGUUUCCAAGGUGGCGACAGACAAAGUUGCAGAAAAGCUGAGCUCUACUCUCUCAUGGGUGAAGAACACAGUAUCGCAUACAGUCAGUCAGAUGGCCAGUCAGGUGGCAAGUCCAUCUACUUCAUUACAUACCACAUCCUCAUCUACCACACUAUCAACACCAGCCCUUUCACCAUCUUCCCCAUCACAGUUGAGUCCAGACGACUUAGAACUCCUGGCUAAACUGGAAGAACAGAAUAGAUUGUUAGAAACGGAUAGUAAGUCUUUAAGAUCUGUAAAUGGGUCAAGAAGAAACAGUGGCUCUUCUCUUGUGUCGAGUUCAUCAGCCUCUAGCAACCUCAGUCACCUUGAAGAAGAUUCUUGGAUUCUUUGGGGAAGAAUUGUUAAUGAAUGGGAAGAUGUACGCAAAAAGAAGGAAAAGCAAGUUAAGGAACUUGUUCAUAAAGGGAUACCCCAUCACUUUAGAGCAAUAGUUUGGCAACUUUUAUGCAGUGCACAAAGUAUGCCAAUUAAGGAUCAGUAUUCAGAACUCCUGAAAAUGACCUCGCCUUGUGAAAAAUUGAUCCGAAGGGACAUUGCUAGAACUUACCCUGAACACAACUUUUUUAAGGAAAAAGAUAGCCUUGGACAGGAGGUUUUAUUUAAUGUAAUGAAGGCUUACUCUUUAGUAGAUCGUGAGGUUGGUUACUGUCAAGGAAGUGCUUUUAUAGUUGGAUUGUUGCUUAUGCAGAUGCCAGAAGAAGAAGCUUUCUGUGUAUUUGUUAAAUUAAUGCAAGAUUAUAGACUUCGUGAACUUUUUAAACCAAGUAUGGCAGAAUUGGGCCUUUGUAUGUACCAGUUUGAAUGUAUGAUACAGGAGCAUCUUCCAGAGCUCUUUGUACAUUUUCAAUCUCAGAGUUUUCAUACCUCAAUGUAUGCAUCAUCCUGGUUUCUGACUAUCUUUCUUACAACUUUUCCACUACCAAUUGCAACAAGGAUAUUUGAUAUCUUUAUGUCUGAGGGUUUAGAAAUAGUGUUUCGUGUAGGAUUAGCACUUCUUCAGAUGAAUCAGGCAGAACUGAUGCAACUUGACAUGGAAGGGAUGUUACAGCACUUUCAAAAGGUCAUUCCACAUCAGUUUGAUGGUGUCCCAGACAAGCUAAUCCAAGCAGCUUACCAAGUCAA
rnacentral:lncRNA from 1 species